CCUACGGGAGGCAGCAGUGAGGAAUAUUGGUCAAUGGGCGCUAGCCUGAACCAGCCAAGUAGCGUGAAGGAUGACUGCCCUAUGGGUUGUAAACUUCUUUUAUAUGGGAAUAAAGUGCAGUAUGUAUACUGCUUUGCAUGUACCUUAUGAAUAAGGAUCGGCUAAAUCCGGUCCAGCAGCCGCGGUAAUAAGGAGGAUUCGAGCGUUAUCCGGAUUUAUUGGGUGUUAAGGGAGCGUAGGCGGGUUGUUAAGUCAGGUGUGAAAGUUUGGGGCUCAACCGUAAGAUUGCCGUUGAAACUGGCAGCCUUGAGUACAGUAGAGGUAGGCGGAAUGCGUGGUGUAGCGGUGAAAUGCUUAGAUAUCACGAAGAACUCCGAUUGCGAAGGCAGCCUGCUGGACUGUAACUGACGCUGAUGCUCGAAAGUGUGGGUAUCGAACAGGAUUAGAUACCCCGGUAGUC
rnacentral:rRNA from 1 species